GCGGCGAGGGGGCAGUGAACAGACAGGCCUCGUCCCGGCACAGGCAGAGAAACUGAGGCAUGUCACUCUGAUACUACAUAGGGGCAACCGAGGUGAGGCAAUCCAGGGACUGCCCAGAAGAAACUGAGGCCCAGCCACUCUUAUCAUGACACAGGGAAACUGAGGCACCACCACCCAGGCAUUCUGCCAGGGAAACCACAUGCUGCCAGGGGAAACUGAGAUCUAUCCACUCUAAUUAUGGCACAGGAUAAACCUAAACCCAUUGCUCUUUAGGAAAAGAGUCCUGGCCACCGGGAUGUCAGACUCCGUAAGACACUGGCAGCAAACCUAGGCCUGACCCACUCAGGAACCCAAGCUGGGGGACCCAGCCAUUGCCUGAGUGCACGUGGAACAGUCUCUACCUAUUCCAGCUUUGCUGAGAAUCUCCCUCAACUCACUGCAUGGGUGAGAAAACUGAGGCCGAGGCCAGAACCAUGUCUUAAGGAGGCCACAGGGCUGGGGACACAGAAUUAGGUCACUAGGACGUGGUUACCUCUAUAAUCUUACAGGGAUGGUCUUCACCUACUAUCCAGCCCAACUCCUGCCGCCUUCACUUUCCCAGAUUGCUAGCCCCUGGCUUCAGAAGACCCACUCCAAGUGAAGAAGAAGAAAAAAAAGCACAGCUAUGGACCGUCCUCUCCACGACCCAGGAGUCCAAGAACUAGCUCCCUCUUCCCUCAGAUCACAGAAGUCUAGGCACCCCCCAGUCCCUUUCCUCCCCAAGACCCAGGAAUCUGAGCCUCCAGACCCCUCCUCCCCAGUCCCAGGAAACCACACCCCCAGGAGACAAGAUUCUGGGCUCUCAUCCUACUCCUUAGACCCAGAAAUCCCAGCCCUUAGAUUCCUCCUCCCUCAGGGCCUAAGAGUCCGGGUGCCCAGCUUCUCCAAGAUCUGGGGGUUCUGGACUCUCCCCUCCGCCUGCAGCCCCAGCUCUUGGGGGGCUGUAACCAAGUGUAGGGGAGGAGGUAGGGGCGGGGUUUCUGGGGCAGGAAGGCAGGGCUUUGGACACUGGAGCCAGGGGAGGAGCAGAGAUGAAUGGAGGCCCCUUGAGCCACUCCCUCCCCACACAUCAGGUCCAACGAGUCCAGCUGGCCUGGCCGAAAGCAAGAGGGACUUUCACUCUGUUCCUUCCUUUCCUUCUCCCCCUGCGGGCCUUGGCAUAACCGGUUCUGACAGUGGAUGAUUCCCAGCCCCGCCCAAUUAUGUGGGCUGUGUCCAAAGUCUGGGACUGGGGCCUUGGACUCCUGGAUCAGAGGAGGGGGCUGAGAGCCCUGGGACUGGGAGAAGGGACAGCUGGGUGCCUGUACCCUUGGGUCUCAGAAAUGGUGCAUCUGAGCAUGUAGACAAGUGAAUCUCAGCACUCAGAGUCAAGAUUCCGGAAAAUGUUUAUAAGAGGGCAGGCCAAUCUUAGGCCAAAAACCAACAUGAUAUCUAAAACCCACCACAACACAGGAUGUUUUAGGGAGGCUGCUUUAGAACCUUAAAGUCACUGAGAAGGAAAUAAAAAACAUAGACUAUAGAAAACUACUGGCAUGAAGACACAGUAGAGUGCAGUGGGCUUGGGGUAAGAACUGCACAUAGGGCUACGCAGAGGGACAUUUUCUAGAACUGAGGGCUAGAACCUACAACUCAGAGCCAGCCAAGAGCAACCCAAUAACAUAAAGAGUGUCUGGGUCAACCUAGGAUCCCUAACUCAGAGAAGAGCCUACGAUCAUACCUAAUGCAAUACAAAACAAAUGUAGUCAGGAGUAUAAUCUAGAACUCCACUAGGGAUGAAGGUAUAACACACAAUAUAGCAGGGGUCACAUUCUUGGCUUUAUCACCUGUCUAGAUAAUCCUAGAACUCAGAAAGCAAAAGAUGUGUUCUAGAAUUCAGAACAUGCUCUGGAGGGGAAGAAAAACCUAGGAAGUAGCAAGAAGUUUGCCUAAAACUUAGAAGUGUCUGAAGGAAACUGCAAAAGGAUGUGUGUUGAGAAUUGAGAAUUUUCUGGAAUAAAGAAGGAGCUGUCAAAGGAGGGGGAGUAGGUGUUCUGGAAAUAAGAACAUUUCUAGGCUGAACACUCCAGAAGAAGAGAGAACCUAGAACAUAGUUAGAAUGCCAAGUGGCAGAUGGAGGAGAAAGCCCACAAUCCACCAGGGGAAAAGUUCUAAACUAAGGCUACACUAGGGAAAAGAUGGACAGAGAAGGUGGGAAUGAGUGGGUCUAGAACCUAGAACCUGAGGAAGAAAAAUUUAACAUAGCACACUUCAAUGGGACUCUCCUAGAUUUCAGAAUGUGAAGUUAGAUGGAACCUAAACCAGGGAAGUGCAUUCUAGAAUUAAUAGUACAAAUUGGAAAAAGGCUAGAGCACAUACUUGGAACACAUACAUUUUUAAAGUUAGAAUGACCCUGGGAAGAGAACAACGUGGCUGGAACCAAGAACAUACAUAACAUGACAAUUGAGCAGAAAAGAAUUAAGGACUGGUUGCUAGAAAUUUGGAACAUGACUGAGGAGAGGGUGAGAUGAGAAUUUGGCUUGAGGAUGUUAUCUAGAUAUUUGAAAAGAUAAAUGGGAAAAAACAUGUCUCGAAUUUAGUAUCUUGCCUAGAACUCAGACCAUGCCUUGAAUGAAGACAACACAGAGAAGUCAUCUGGGGAAUGUUCUAGAAUUUAGAAGGAAUCUAGAACAUGGAGCAAUGCAAGGACACAUAUGCAACUAGAAAUGUGGAAGACAGUGGGUAGGUUCUAGACCACCUAAUGAGCCUAGGCCACAGAACACAUCUAGAGGAAGUGUUGUGAGUUUGGCUCUUCAGCCUGAGAGAGUGUUCUUUGAAAAUGGGACCCAUGAUUGGCCCCAGUGGGGUGCUGGAAACAUCUCAAGAAGCUGGGGUCUUAGGGGAAAGAGUAGAGAAGAGAAUCCUGAAGCCCAGCACCUGAGAUGAUAAGGGGACAACACAGGGAUUUGCCAAGGCCACAGGAAAUGUGAAGUUGAUGGGGGUGGUCAUAUGGCUGUGAGGACCUGGGUCUCUAAAAGUGACAGCUGAGGAGCUUGAUACCUGGGGGAGGAGCAGGGAUGGGAUCCUAGACCCCUAGAUCCUUGUGUAGGUAAAGGAUGGGGGGUUAGAAGCUUAGAGCCUGAGUCCUUAUUUGGAGGGAGGGCUGGGGCAGGUAGCCUCAGUGGACAGUACAGAACCUGGGUCUGAACUCCUGAGGCCCGGAGGGGAUGCAGGACUGGGGACAAGACAUCUAGGUCUCCAAGGGGGAGGAUGGACAGAAAUCAAAGAAUUGCAUUAAUAAUUGCUUUCUGGGUCCCCUAAAGGGAGAGAGCCCUGGUGCUUGAGUCCCUAAGGGAGCAGAGGUUGGGUGACAAGAAGCUUAAUAUAUUUGUCUGAGGUUGCACAGGGGAUGUUGAACUGGGUUCUGAAGGGGGCAAAAGCUGGGAAACUGGAUUCUUAGGUCCUGACGGGGUGAGGGCUAUCAGCUGGGUCCAGCAGAUGGAGUGAAACACUGACAAGCUUCCAGAACAGGGUAGGAGCUGGAUACCCGGGUGCCAAGGUCCCUAAGGUGGACAGGGAAGCGAAAUUCAGAAGCCCUGGCUUCUCAGGGAGCAGCUGGAGUCCCAAAAACCUGGGGUGCCGAGGACCGGGCCAACAGCCUGGCCAGCAGAACGGUGAGGGCGACCGGGACGCCCGGGUCGGGGAGGGCCCGGGUAUCCCCGGGUCAAAGGCGCGGCGGGGGGGAUCCCCGCGCCGCCUGCGCCCCCUCCCUGGCGGCUGCAGCAUGAGGUGGGGGAGGCGAGCCUGCCGAGUGUGCUGACCAUGGACAGCUCCGGAGCGGGCCUGUGUCCAGGGCGGCCGCCCAGCCGGCCUGGACCGAGGAACGCGACCGGCUGUUGAAGCCGAAGGCUGAAGACCGGCAGACAGGAGCCCAAGGCGACGGACAUGACGCUGAGCAGAGCAGACGAGCCCACCGCCCGAAUGGAGCUGCCAGUCUGGAGUAGACAACCAACUUCUGUGAUAAGAGCUGAGACUGGGAAGGUGAUUAUCGAGAUGAGGAAGUCCUGGAGGAGGGACAUUGCAGAGUCCUGGAAGGUAAGACGUGGGGCGUGGGGCACAGCCACCAGGCAGAAGGAGCCCACGUGUCUGGAGAGCAGAGUUGGGACUGAUUCAUGGCGAAAGUGGAAAGGUUGGCAGGAUGCAGGUUAUGCCUGGCCUUGUGUGUUGGCAUAUGCUUGUUGAGGAUUUUGGACUUCAUGCCAACUCCUAAGAGUAAAAUGUGACAUUCAAAUUUGUAUUUUAAGAUGACUGUUGGCCACUGUGGACUGCAUUGGAUGGGCGCAAGAGGAGAAGCAGCAGGCCCAGUUAUCACAGCAAUCCCCGUGGUGGCCAGCACCAGGGCCAGGCCUGGAGGGUAGGUGGCCAGGUAUGCAAAGCGCCAGGGCGAGUCUUGGUGCUCAGCAGUCUACGGGGAUAGGAGGUGCAGGGGAAGGGAGUAUUAAGGUGCUCUGGUGCCACUUGUUCAGCUGGUCUGUGCUGGUGGAGGGAUAUUGGAUAUUUUGAAUGUGGGAAACCUGUGUAGUGUCCAAGGGAAGAGGACAUCUAAGUCUAGGACUCAGAAGAGCCAUCUGGCCUGCGGGCAGUUUUGAGGAUUUGGGCAUAGGUGGUAGGUAUAACCAUGGGAGUGGACGAGAAUUCUGGGAGCAAGAGAGAAUAGAAUAAAAAGGACCUAGGACCAGUCCCUAAAACAUUUAAAGUCAGGAAGGUGGUAAAGAAUGGACAGAAAGGUAGGUGGGAGGAAACCCAGGCAGAAGAAACCAAGAGAAGAGAAUGGUUUUAACAAGUGGUCAGUGGUGUAAAAUGCUCCAGAGAGGCCACGGACACGCGGGGAAAUGUGGACAAGACUUUUGAGAGGACUGGCUGUCACCCGGCCACCCUCUGGGUCAGCCGGAUGGGGAUCUCAAUCGGGAAAAUAGCUUCCUCAAAGUGGGAGGACUAAAAUCCACUUUGUCUAGUCCUCUCCCCUCUUCUUUAACAAAAAGUAGUGUCUUCACCAGGUUAAACACAAAAUCUAGUCACAUACAAGGGCUAAUGAUGAAAAGCACCAGCCCCUGUACUUCUCCUAACUCUGCUCGCUUCACGAGGUGACAACUUAUAGAUGUUUAGUCUGAGAGCUGCUUCGGUAUCUAAAUAACAUGCUAGUUCUUGAUUUAGAGGCAACAGAUUACACAUUGAUUUUCUGCUUUUCCCACCUUUCCCCUCUGUUCCCAUAGUUUUAUGACAGUAGCUUUUAGUUCAAUCAAUAAAGUGCUCACAUGAUG